rnacentral:rRNA from 1 species
AUGCUCUAUAUUAUAUGGUUUGGCACCUACAGGAUGCCAUCUCAGGUCAUGGAUCCACUCUGUCUGCUUCGUCCUUCACUGAGGACCUUCUCAUCCCCACAGAGAUCAGAGAGAAUAUUAUAUUUUGGAAGCAGGAAACCAUACCUCAUAAGAUGGCAUUUUGUGCUUGGUGGCCUUCUUCGCCGACUUCGUGGGCGUGUCAGCCCUCAUAUCCACUUCGUCAUCGACGACAUCUACGACCACGACACCUGCCACCUUGGGUAUGAUUGUGAUCUGUGCAAUGGGUGCAUAGUGGAAGGGGCUGCCGUUCCAGUUCAGCAGGGGCUGCACCUUCUACUGCAGUGA